GACGACAUUUGCGAAUGAUUAUGCAAAGUUUUCGCUGUAUUCGUGGUUUUUCAAGCUGUGUCGGUUUUUUAACAGACAUCAAAGCGCGCGAACCUCGAACCUUCGCGUAGUCUCCUACACAUUCGCUUGCCCAGUUGCGCCGACGAUUGCGAAGGUAACGGACGUAUACUAUACGCCAUUUUCAUAGUUCGUGACGUCUACUGUGUAGCGUAUCUUCAUGAAAAGAAAUCCCAUAAAAACAGCAUGACUGUUAAUGAUGUGUGGGAAAGAAUUAAAAACUCUUUUUCUCUUCAAUGUUCUAUUGACGAAUUAAAAAGGAGGAGAAAUUCGUGAGACAUUCGUAAACAAGUGUAGGAGGAAGCGCAAACGGGUUCGCAAAAAGAGUAUGCGAACCCAUUUGCACAGCCGCUAGGUUUGCGAAUGAAUGUUUGACGGCCCUUCAUCACGCCUUGCGCGCAUGUCAGUGGCCGGCAUUAGAUUCGAACCGUUGUCGAAGGGAUAAGACACCCGUUGCAUUCGUGUUGAACGAUUCACCGGUAUUCGAAUCCCGCAUGUGGGUACCAAUUUUUAAAAAUGAAACACCUACUUAACAAAUGUUCACGAUUGACUUCCACGGUGAAGGAAUAACAUCGUGUAAUCAAAAUCAUACCCGCAAAAUUAUAAUUUGCGUAAUUACUGGUUGUUGGCUUCAUAAAGGAGCUUUUGCCAAGCUGGUGCGAGGAGAGGAGACUGAUAUGUAAGCUCGAACACAGUAAAAGCGGAAAACGUGCAUACGGCCCACCUGAUGAUUAUCGUCGCUCAUGGACGUCGGCAAUGUCAGGGGCAGAGCCAAGCUGCUGCCUACCGUUUAAUACUCCACAAGCCUUGUUUGAAGGACAUGUCAUAGCGCUCAGGAAACACCGUAGAGGGGAGCUCGUUCCGAAGCCGGGUGGUAAAUAGCAAUAAAAACUUCUGGAAGCACACAGUGGAUGAACGCAGCAGUUCUGGAUAAUAUGGAUGGACUCUUUCCGGUGGCGGGCGGUACGGUGGUAAAAACGAGAUAAUGGAAUCAUCUCAAAUAAUUCCUCAGAGCAUUACAUAACAUAGAUAAAGAAGCAUGGUUCUGUAUUUUGACAGCAAUUCUUCUUCAAUUUCAGUAAAACAAUAGUUAUUUUCAUGUACUUUUUAUUAACAAAUUUGACAAUAAUUACAGUAAUGCAGUAUUUUAUUACAUAUGCUACUUCAGUUUAAUUGCUUGGCCUGAGAUAAUUAAAGAUAUUUUUGCUACAUACCUCAUUUCUCAUCAACAAACCAAUGGUAGAAAGUUUCGAGAACUACAAUUAUUUCUUACAUAAAAGGGCAGGAUUUGUUGCAGAAAACCAGUGCAUGUGGUAUUUACUGUUUAAUGCUCAAUCCAUGACAUAAGCUUAAACAUAAGCUGUUAUGUUUAAGCUUAUAAAUUAUCUUACCAAAAUAAAUUGACAGUUGCUCUAAAAAUACCAAUUUCAUAUUCUAUUAGCCAGAACUCUUCAAUUAAUAAAUAAAAUAAGAGCUAGCAAAAUCAUCUUAGCUGGCUGUUUUGACUGUACACUUAUGUACAUAUAUUUGUAUCGUGAAUCAUGCCAUACUGGUGGUAGGACCUCUUGUGAGUCCGCGUGGGUAGGUACCACCACCCUGCCUAUCUCUGCCAUGAAGCAGUAAUGCGUUUCGGUUUGAAGGGUGAGGCAGCCGUUGUAACUGUACUUGAGACCUUAGAACUUAUCUCUUAUCUCAAGCUGGGUGGCGCAUUUACGUCGUGGAUGUCUAUGGGCUCUAGUAACCACUUAACACCAGGUGGGCUAUGAGCUCAUCCACCCAUCUAAGCAAUAAAAAAAUAUUAUUAUGCUUUAACAUACAAACAUCUUAUUUGAGAUUUAUUGGUGGAGACCAAUUUUAGUAUAAUAUCGGUGGAGUCAUUUCAAUGCAACUACACCCAGUUGGUAGCAUGGAGCAUAGUUACUUCGAUCUUCAGACAGCCAUUUAUGUACAUUUAGGCACAUUUUGACCAUUUAUGACAUUACAAUAAUAUUAUUAUUUUAGUUUAGACUCAUAUAUUAAGAUAUUAUUAUAUCUCAAUUAAAGUCACCAUUGUGAUAAAAGUAAAUUAUUCUCCACCCCUAAGUGCCUUAUACUUUGUAAUCUCAUUAGGGAAGGUCUUCGAUAGCUCAGAAAGUAAAUGAGUUUUGAAUCGCUUGUAUGAAUCAAUUUUUCCUUUCACCUCUUCAUUUUUAGCCAAUGCUUUAUCUAUGCAGUCCUUUGUGUAGAGCUGUGGGUUACGGCCUUGAUCAAUGUAACUGAAAUAGAAAAUUUUACUGUGUCAUAUAAAAACUGCAAUAAAUCCUUUUAUAUCAUUUCAUUUUGACAAACACACUUCAAACAUAAACUUCAUUGUUGAUCCUAAAAGACUAACUCGACAAUAGACCAACUUACCAACCUUUUUUACAAAUUGACCUUCUUGGACUACCUGUUCUUACUCCCUGCAUUAUUAGCAAACAUAAAA